ensembl:miRNA
UCUGAAGAGGAUACAGGGUCUGAAAUGACAAUGACAUCUACUCUGCUGUUCUCUCCACAG